UAGAAAAAUGAAUUCCAAUCAGUCCACGGUACUUCUACUACUUCUCCUCAUUUCCACUACUAUAGUACAUGCAGGAGUUAUUCCUCCAACUAGCGAAUGCAACUGCGGAUGCAUUUGUGCUAAAGGAACCGUGGACUGCCCUUCUGACGAAGACUGUAUCCUUGGUCAUCUGGUAUCACUUCUGGUGCUUUUGCUGGGACACAAUGGAGAAUGCAAUAAGGAUCUAAUAAACGAAAUACGAGAGAUUCUUGACUGUUUAGAAGAAGAAUACGAAGAACAUGAAUCGAGCACACCGUAAAUGUUUAAAAGGACUUAUACAAAAUUAAUGUGAACUGAAGUUAAGACCUAAUGUUAUAGAAGAAAAUAUCUGGAUGCAAAACAGUAGUUUAGAUACACCAUCUGACCCAUCUUUAAAACCAGAACAUGUCUCAGUGUUUUCUAACCCGGAAAUAUCUAGAAGCCAACAACAGUGGUAUCAAGAAAUGCAAGAAUCUCAUUACUUUUUUCCAGUACACAAUUUUUGUCGUCAUGAAGAUCCAUAGGUCACAUUAUUUCUGUGUAACAAAUAUUUAUUUAAAUAUCCUAAUAAAAUAAAUAAUAAUGCCCUAAACAUAAUUUGUCCU
rnacentral:lncRNA from 1 species